rnacentral:pre_miRNA from 1 species
UAUAUACUCCCUCCGUCCGAAAAUACUUGUCAUCAAAAUGGAUAAAAGGGAUGUAUCUAGAUGUAUUUUAGUUUUAGAUACAUCCCUUUUUGUCCAUUUUGAUGACAAGUAUUUUCGGACGGAGGGAGUAUAAU